AAUUAAGGAUGAUGGAAUACAUACCGGCCCAAUUUUGCAAUUUUUUUUUGAAGUUAUAGGCCCACUGAAGAUCCAAGGUGCAUCCUGUGAACCUUUUGGAGAGCCGAAGAUGCUUGGCCACACUGUACCACAUCUAUUGUACCCCACAUGAUUGUAGAGUCAGUAAACGCUCUCUUCUUUGGAGAA
rnacentral:lncRNA from 1 species